rnacentral:rRNA from 1 species
GUGGAUUAGAUACCCUGGUAGUCCACGCUGUAAACGGUGAACACUAGGUGUGGGAGGUGUAAUACCUUCUGUGCCGAAGCAAACGCGUUAAGUGUUCCGCCUGGGAAGUACGGCCGCAAGGUUGAAACUCAAAGGAAUUGACGGGGGCCCGCACAAGCGGUGGAGCAUGUGGUUUAAUUCGACGCAACGCGAAAAACCUUACCUGGGCUUGACAUGCCGAGAAUCCGGUGGAAACAUUGGAGUGCCCCGUAAGGGGAGCUUGGACACAGGUGCUGCACGGCUGUCGACAACU